AUGGAUGGUGGGAAACACAACAUCAGAAACAGUGACUCCUCUUCUCAAGAAAAAACUGGAGAUCUUGAUGAUGAAGAAGAAAGCAAAUUGACCUAUACAGAGAUUCAUCAGGAAUACAAAGAACUAGUUGAAAAGCUGUUAGAAGGUUACCUCAAAGAAAUUGGAAUUAAUGAAGAUCAGUUUCAAGAAGCAUGCACUUCUCCUCUUGCAAAGACCCAUAUAUCACAGGCCAUUUUGCAACCUGUGUUGGCAGCAGAAGAUUUUACUAUCUUUAAAGCAAUGAUGGUCCAGAAAAACAUUGAAAUGCAGCUGCAAGCCAUUCGAAUAAUUCAAGAGACAAAUGGUGUAUUACCUUACUGCUUAACCGAUGGCUCUGAUGUGGUCAGUGACCUUGAACACAAAGAGAUGAAAAUCCUGAGGGAAGUUCUUAGAAAAUCAAAAGAGGAAUAUGACCAGGAAAAAGAAAGGAACAGGAAAAAACAGUUAUCAGAGGCUAAAACAGAAGAGCCCACAGUACAUUCCAGUGAAGCUGCAAUAAUGAAAAAUUCCCAAGGGGAUGCUGAACAUUUUACACACCCACCCUCAGAAGUUAAAGUGCAUUUUGCUAAUCAGUCAAUAGAACCUUUGGGAAGAAAAGUGGAAAGGUCUGAAAUUUCCUCCCUCCCACAAAAAGGCCUGAAAAUUCCUGGCUUAGAGCAUGCGAGCAUUCAAGGACCAAUAGCAAAUUUAUCAGUGCUUGGAACAGAAGAACUCCGGCAACGAGAAGACUAUCUCAAGCAGAAGAGAGAUAAGUUGAUGUCCAUGAGAAAGGAUAUGAGGACUAAACUGAUACAAAAUAUGGAGCAGAAAGGAAAACCCACUGGGGAGGUAGAGGAAAUGACAGAGAAACCAGAAAUGACAGCAGAGGAGAAGCAAACAUUACUAAAGAGGAGAUUGCUUGCAGAGAAACUCAAAGAAGUUAUUAAUAAGAAGUAAUAAUUAAGAACAAUUUAACAAAAUGGAAGUUCAAAUUGUCUUAAAAAUAAAUUUAGUCCUUA